GUGGCUCAGGAACAUCUGUGGCUCAGCUGUCUGUAGAUGUCCUGGCGUGGCCUCCUCCCAUGGCCUCCUCCCGUGGCCUCCUCCCCUGGCCUCCUGCAACUACCACCAGCCCUUUACUGCUUCCUGGGCAAUGUGAAGGGCACAUCAAGAGAAAACUGAAAUUCAACAUGACUUUCAUCCCCAACUGAAACUGUACGCUGUCUCAAAAACCUAGGCUGGGAUGGGCUUGGCUUGGGGAUUUAUUACGGUUUAAAAAUGAGUAAUAUGGGGGGGGUCACCAGAAAAGAGAAGUGGCCCCCUGGUUCCUCUGUGCCAGCCCAGAAUGCCUAAGGGACGUCUGGGAAAGAAGCCACCUCCUGUCAGGAGGGGGAGAAAGGAAAAUGCCCAAGAAGACUUGCUAUUCAGGCUUGCAGGGGGGCUGCCUGGCUGUUUCUGGGAUCAUCUGGGUGUGACGCCACCGUCCCUUCCAAUGUAUGGAACUGCAGAACUCUCCCACGGAUGCUUGCAACCCUGAAUUUCAGAUUUUUUUUUUUGUGCUCGUAUCUCUUUAUGGAUUGGCAUGGGUUGCUUUGGGAAAGAAAGAGGCGGAUUCUAAAGGAACAGCCUGGAAAAGGCACCGGAAAACACGAGUCACAACAAGCAGAAACUGGUUGGAGUGGCAGCCGAGAGGUAGCAGCCACCUGGCACCAGCUGGGUGCAGAGCACCGUCCCUCUCUGGACACCUCGCGGGCACCGUCUGGCCUGAAGAUGACUUGGACACCAACUCCUAUGAUCUCUCUUUUUUUUUGAGGGUGUGGCCACUUCUCUCCGUUCUGUGAAUAAAGUAAGCUCCGAUCCACCCUAGCUCCCAGCUUCUUCCUGCCUGUGUCAGGCCUUCUCAGGACCCGGCUGUCAGACCGGUGCAGUGGUGUAGGCCUUGAAUUUCAGCACUCGGGAGGCAGAAUCUUCAGCCUGCGAAUUCCAGGCCAACGUGGUCAAAGGUCUCAGUCAAAUGGCAAGCACAGACACCCACUAAGUGACACCCACUAAGACACGAGGCCCCAGAAAACCCACCGUACUCUCAAAACAGCCCCAUUUGCAGUAAGUGGCUCUCCAGCAAGCCACACCAACCUUCUAAAUUUCAAGCCAUGUGAAAUUUUUAUUGCCUUUCUUGCAAAGGAAUUUCUUCCACAGAACUCCAAAAUAACUUCUGAACCCCGGAGCCUCACCUGCAAACAGCUGGUCUAUAUUUUAAGGGGUCUAACUAAUUUUUUUUGUGGAAUGCUAAGAUCGUCCGUAGGAGACGUGGAAACAGCUUAAUUUCCCACCCCGCAAAUGAACAGGCGGAGAGCACAGGGUCUCUCUGGGACUCUGUAUGACUUCAUGGGAUGACAUCUGCCAAGAGAACAUUAGAAAAAGCAAGCAAACUCAGCAGCCAGAUUCCAUGGCAACAGCUGGCCCGCCACAGGUGUUGGCCAGGGAAGAACUCCUCCAGUCCUGCAUAAAUGUUCCAGAGAGUUCUUUAUUAUUUUAAACACCACGUUCAGAGAGAGCUUAAUUUGCUCAGAUCCAAAACAUCCCCCAAGGGCAGAGUACAGAGUAAACAAGGCUGGGGGAGAAAGUCCUGUCCACCUAAUUUUUAAUUUGCAAGGCGGAGCUGUUACAAAACAAAGCCACUUGAUUUCUGACGGCAGUGCCGCUUUGGUGGAAAAUAGUCUCUCAGUGAAGCCGGCCAUGACAGGGUGACACCGCUGGUGUUGUAGACAAACUCAGCGUUAUCUUUCUUGCUUGGUGUGAGAGGCAAGCUCCAGAGAGAAGGGUGGACAUCCAGCAGCAGAGCCCGUGGGACCGGAAGCCGCCUCGCUAGGGGGGCCCAGGCUCCUUUCUGUCUUCUGAGCUCCAAAAGCGUGAGUGAAAAACUCACCCAGAGCCAUACAUCUCAGAGGUUCUGAUCUCUGCUCGACCCAACAGUGUGCCUGAGACCAGGUGUGAGGCCCUUGUGCCAGAGCGAGCCUCUGUCCCCACGUGUAGGGUUCACUCACGCUCUCUCUCGCUCGCUCACUCCUUCAGCUCUCUCGCUUGCUGGAUCAGUCUCUCACUCACUCCUUCAUCGGGUGUCGUCAUCACCCAGCCCGUAAACAAUGUAAAACAAAGUUGCACAUUGGCAAUUAGACACACCCUGAUUCUGCAGGCUGUGUUUAGACUGGAAGACUGACAGGAAGUGACUGACACACAGGGGCUCGUCGGUUCCCUCCGAGGUGUGCAAGUACUGAGACCACAGGAUGGCUCCUUUGGUGGCAGCUCAGCCACUCACUGUGCCAUUGGAGACAGAUCGCUCAAGCCCAUGGCCUUCAGGAUCCACCUCUGCCACCCCUCUGAGUAGUUGGGGAAACAACCCUGCAACCCUAGCUAGGAAAAUCCAAGACUUCUCUAGGACGGUCCCCACCUUGUUUAGGAUAACAGACUGUGCUUCUGCUCAUGGGCGAUGCCCGCCACUGCCUCCCAGAGAAGAGUAAGGAUGAGGCCAACACACAGACAGCGUUGUGCUCCAGACACAGACCAUGCAGGCCAUCCACACCUGAGGCUUUUCGGUAACCUGAAGAUCUGAUACACACACUCCCUGUCUCCGUUUGUUUCGUGUUCCUCGAGCUCACCUGGACCAGGCAGUUGUCACCUGUCACUAUGGAAGUGUUGUUUGAUAUAUACAUACCAAAAUAUAGGCUGUCCCGGGACUAUGGCCACCUCUCAGCUGCCUGUCGGGCCUCAUGGCUGUCCUGAUAGCCUCCAGCCUCCCGCCUCUCUGCUCUCAGGCCCAUCGCUGCUCAGAAGAUCAACUGCAUUUUAAUUAUCCCGUCAAAUUUGGGCUUACCACUGGUUCUCCCGCUGGGAAAAGGCAUAAAGAUGGAAGCAAAAAGCUCAGUCACAGGCAAGUGAAGGAAACGCUGGGGAGAUGGCCCGUCAGGCACGUGGGAGCUCUGCUCUCACAGAGGACCCAGCUUGGCUCCCAGAACCCACAUCAGGUGACUCACAACUGUCCAGGGGACCUGGCACCCUCUUCUGGGCUCCAACAACAACUAUCCACAUGUGCUCCUCCCCCCACACACCUGCACAGACACACAUAAAUAAAAAUAAAAUAGUUCUCAAAGUCAA